GACGAACGCUGGCGGCGUGCUUAACACAUGCAAGUCGAACGGUGAAGCGCUUGCCUUUUUGGUGGGUGUGGAUGAGUGGCGAACGGGUGAGUAACACGUGAGUAACCUGCCCUCUUCUUCUGGAUAACCUCAUGAAAGUGGGGCUAAUACGGGGUAUUCCGGGUCUGUCGCAUGGCGGGUUUGGGAAAGAUUGCGCCUUUGGGUGUUUUCGGUGGGGGAUGGGCUCGCGGCCUAUCAGCUUGUUGGUGGGGUGAUGGCCUACCAAGGCGGUGACGGGUAGCCGGCAUGAGAGGGUGGACGGCCACACUGGGACUGAGACACGGCCCAGACUCCUGCGGGAGGCAGCAGUGGGGAAUAUUGCACAAUGGGCGCAAGCCUGAUGCAGCGACGCCGAGUGAGGGAUGGAGGCCUUCGGGUUGUGAACCUCUUUCGCCAGUGAAGCAGGCCUGCUCCUGUGUGGGUGGGUUGACGGUAGCUGGAUAAGAAGCGCCGGCUAACUACGUG
rnacentral:rRNA from 1 species